GCCUAACUGUAANNNNNCAAUUAAAUUACUAAUUGUUCGCCAAAUAACUACGAGUGAAAACUUAAAAUUUAAAAGACUUGACGGUGCCUCACAACAACCUAGAGGAGCCUGUCCAUAACCGAUACUCCCCGAUUAACCCAACCCCCCCUAGCCCAAAUCAGUCUAUAUACCGCCGUCGCCAGCCUACCUUAUGAAAGAAAAAAAGUAAGCAAAACAGUCCAUACACUAACACGACAGGUCGAGGUGUAACUCAUGGUGGGGCCAAGAUGGGCUACAUUUUCUACCACAGAAAAUACGAAUAAAUUCUGAAAAGAAAAACUGAAGGCGGAUUUAGCAGUACACCUGGAACAAAAUACCCGGUCGAAACCAAUGCAAUGAGGCGCGC
rnacentral:rRNA from 1 species